AUGGCGGAACCGCCGCCGCCGCCGCUCCCCCAGCGCAUGCCCCUCCUCCCCCUCCCGCUCCCUCAGGCUAACUACUCCUCGAAGGAUCCGCCGCUCCCCCAGCCUUUGCCGACGCCGAAGGUUCCGCCGCUCCCCGAGCCCCAGCCUAUGGAGGCACCGCCGACGGCGCCGCUCCCCCAGCCCCGGCCUCCGCCGCCUCCCGUCGUGGCCCUGCUUCCCUCCCUCCCGACCUCCGCGGCUUCAACUGCCUUAGCCCAACUAGCAGCGCCGACCUCUCCCCGCGACCAUGUCGCGCAGAACCCUAGAGUCGGGGAUUCCAGCGAUGUGGAGAGCGGGUCAGGGAUGUCCACGGUCGAGGCCCUCCAAAAGAUCAUUCCGUACGUGGGCACACUCGUUGCAGCUCCUCUGCCCCAAGUUUCCAAGCUCCAUGAGGACGGCGUGGCUGACGAAUGCGGCUCCACCUCUCUCUCUCAUAUUUGUGCUAGAAACGGUAAUCUGAUCAUCAAACAAUCUGACCCAAGUGAUAGUGUUGAUGUGCAUUUUACUCCAUUGAAUCAAACACCAUCUAUAGCACUGCCUAGUCAAGCAAGUAAUGUAAAUGAUGAAGCUAAAGUAUGCCUUAUGGAUACAUAUCUUGCAAAUCCACAUGAAGAAUAUGAACAUGUUGGUGUAGAUGAGGAGGACCAAUACUCAAUUGAUAGUGCUGGUUCAGAUAGUGAUGAUGAGCUCGGAGAAAAAAAAGAUAUACCAAAUAGUGAGCAUGUAGAGGAUAGCAGCGAUGACGAGGAGUGGGUUACGGAAGAUGCUAGACCAGAUGUUAUUCCAGAAAUAGUGUAUGAUAAAGAAAACCCACCAAUGCAUGUUGGUGCAAAGUAUCCUAAUAUUGAAGAGUUUAGGUUGGCAAUUGCUACAUAUGCCAUAAAGAAAGAGUUUGAUUUUCAAGUUGACAAAAGUGAGCCUACACGAUUCAGGGCUCAUUGUCGCGAGUCUAAAGAUUGCACAUGGAGAAUUCAUGUUGGGACGUUGGAUGAUGGAGAAACUAUGGAGGUCAAGGUUCAUUUGGAGAAGCACACAUGUGCUAGUACAAAGAAAAAAAAGGAGCAGCAUAAUGCUUCAAAGGCAUGGGUGUGUGAGAAAGUCAUAGACUGGAUAAAAGAAGAUCCUAGUGUUCGCCCAAAGGAGUUACAGAGGAGGCUACAUGACAAGUACAAGAUCGAGAUCAGUUAUACAAAACUCAUGGACAAGAUCAAGAGGAAGAUUACCGUUAAGCAUGAGAAGAGGAGAAGGGUUGCUAGGAAAUUGCAAGGUCGACGUAUACUUCCAAGUGUCAUGAAUGAGCUGAAUGAAAAAAGUAGGGGGCUAGACAUUGAAUAUGAGAGAAUAGAUGACAUGAUUGCAGAGGUUGCCGAGGACAAAAGAAAGAAAAAACCCAUUACAAAGGUUGUUCUUCCAUGUUCAAUUGAAACUGAAACUGCACUGCCUCUACUUCUAUGUCCGAGUGAUGCAAUUGAAGACAAUGUCGCCAAGUCGAAAUCAUCAAAGACUACCUCCAAAUCUACAAGAUCAAAGGCCAUAUCUGUUGCGCCUGACAGCCCUGCAAUGGGCACUCGAAGCAGGAGGAGUGUUGCACCUGACAGCCCUGCAAUGAGCACUCGAAGCAAGAAGAAGCUGAAACUGUGA
rnacentral:rRNA from 1 species